UACGUAGGGUGCAAGCGUUGUCCGGAAUUAUUGGGCGUAAAGGGCUCGUAGGCGGUCCGUCACGUCGGGAGUGAAAUCCUGGGGCUUAACCCCAGAACUGCUUCCGAUACGGGCAGACUAGAGUGCGGUAGGGGUGACUGGAAUUCCUGGUGUAGCGGUGGAAUGCGCAGAUAUCAGGAGGAACACCGAUGGCGAAGGCAGGUCACUGGGCCGCAACUGACGCUGAGGAGCGAAAGCAUGGGGAGCGAACAGG
rnacentral:rRNA from 1 species